UACAGAGGUCCCGAGCGUUGUUCGGAUUCAUUGGGCGUAAAGGGUGCGUAGGCGGCGGGGUAAGUUUGAUGUGAAAUCCCGGGGCUCAACCCUGGAAUUGCAUUGAAUACUACCUUGCUAGAGUACCGGAGAGGAAACUGGAAUUUACGGUGUAGCAGUGAAAUGCGUAGAGAUCGUAAGGAAGACCAGUGGCGAAGGCGGCUUUCUGGUCUGUAACUGACGCUGAGGCGCGAAAGCGUGGGGAGCAAACAGG
rnacentral:rRNA from 1 species